rnacentral:rRNA from 1 species
UGGUGGGUAGUUUGACUGGGGCGGUCUCCUCCUAAAGAGUAACGGAGGAGCACGAAGGUUGGCUAAUCCUGGUCGGACAUCAGGAGGUUAGUGCAAUGGCAUAAGCCAGCUUGACUGCGAGCGUGACGGCGCGAGCAGGUGCGAAAGCAGGUCAUAGUGAUCCGGUGGUUCUGAAUGGAAGGGCCAUCGCUCAACGGAUAAAAGGUACUCCGGGGAUAACAGGCUGAUACCGCCCAAGAGUUCAUAUCGACGGCGGUGUUUGGCACCUCGAUGUCGGCUCAUCACAUCCUGGGGCUGAAGUAGGUCCCAAGGGUAUGGCUGUUCGCCAUUUAAAGUGGUACGCGAGCUGGGUUUAGAACGUCGUGAGACAGUUCGGUCCCUAUCUGCCGUGGGCGCUGGAGAACUGAGGGGGGCUGCUCCUAGUACGAGAGGACCGGAGUGGACGCAUCACUGGUGUUCGGGUUGUCAUGCCAAUGGCACUGCCCGGUAGCUAAAUGCGGAAGAGAUAAGUGCUGAAAGCAUCUAAGCACGAAACUUGCCCCGAGAUGAGUUCUCCCUGAGACUUUAG